rnacentral:rRNA from 1 species
AUACGUAGGGGACGAGCGUUGUCCGGAAUUACUGGGCGUAAAGGGCGCGUAGGCGGCGCUUCAAGUCGUCUGUCAAAUGGGAGGGCUUAACCCUUUUUCGCAGACGAAACUGGAGAGCUUGAGAAGCAGAGAGGCAAACAGAAUUCCUGGUGUAGCGGUGAAAUGCGUAGAUAUCAGGAAGAAUACCAGUGGCGAAGGCGGUUUGCUGGCUGCAUACUGACGCUGAAGCGCGAAAGCCAGGGGAGCAAACGGGAUUAGAUACCCCGGUAGUCCUGGCAGUAAACGAUGUAUGCUGGGUGUGAGACUAGCGAUAGUUUCGUGCCGAAGUUAACGCGAUAAGCAUACCGCCUGGGGAGUACGGUCGCAAGAUUGAAACUCAAAGGAAUUGACGGGG